rnacentral:lncRNA from 1 species
GGUUGGAGCUGCCUUGUUUUUGGAUGUAAGGGUGGAGAAGAAUCAGCUUGGUGUUGCCGUUCUUCAUCUUUGAGGGUUUCUGUUUCCGUUUGCCACAACACAACAAAGGUAAAAGAGAAAAAUAAAGAAGGAAAAAAAAUCAUUAGCUUUAGAUUUUGAAAUGCAGCAAAAGAAAAAUAAAGCAUAUCAACCUUCCUUUUUGACAAGGAUCACAAAAUUUAGAGCAUGACAUAUUGGAGAAGAAAGAAAUAUGCGGCAGAUGAAUGCCCCUUUCCAGAAAAAAGAUGCAUGAAAAGAAGGUGCCAUCAAAUCUGGAACCAAUAACUGAAGUACCACUCAUCACAGCUCUGAGGGCACUUUCAAUUGCUUAA